rnacentral:rRNA from 1 species
AUACGUAGGGUGCAAGCGUUAAUCGGAAUUACUGGGCGUAAAGCGUGCGCAGGCGAUUUUGUAAGACAGUGGUGAAAUCCCCGGGCUCAACCUGGGAACUGCCAUUGUGACUGCAAGGCUGGAGUGCGGCAGAGGGGGAUGGAAUUCCGCGUGUAGCAGUGAAAUGCGUAGAUAUGCGGAGGAACACCGAUGGCGAAGGCAAUCCCCUGGGCCUGCACUGACGCUCAUGCACGAAAGCGUGGGGAGCAAACAGGAUUAGAUACCCUGGUAGUCCACGCCCUAAACGAUGUCAACUGGUUGUUGGGGAUUUAUUUUCUCAGUAACGAAGCUAACGCGUGAAGUUGACCGCCUGGGGAGUACGGCCGCAAGGUUAAAACUCAAAUGAAUUGACGGGG